AUUGUAUCAGAAACGAGAGGUAACAUUUCAACAUUUAAGCUUUCAUAUGCAUUUAUUUUUCAAAUUCCAACAAACAUUUUCAAGUUUGUUAGAACUAAACAGAACCUACUAGAAUCAAUUCUAUUGAUGUCAUUUCUUUUAACAUAGCAACUUAUCACACAAUAAGUACUCAAUGUCUGGGUUUUAAUUGACCAAGUAAGUAAAUUGAAGAAAGUUUGGAAAACUUUCUCUUCCUCUGACACAAUUCUUCACUGUUCUUUUUUUUGGGGGGCGGGGGGAUGAAGCUUUGAAAAAUUUAUUUUUGCAUAACAUAAACAUGUCAAUCUUUCCCUUUAGCUCCUUCCACUCCUCCUUCAGUGUGCCGAAGAGAUACUGAGUUCUUCCAGAUUUUUGCUUAGCUGGGUAGUUUCUAAACUCAACAGACUCUCCAGCAUGCCUGCCCCUCGUCCUGACAUAACUGAUUAGGAAAUGAUUUCUAAAUGGUCAAGAGUCCAGCCUCGAUAGCCACUUCUCUGAUUCCAACAGAAUUUCUACAGAAGACAAUUUCCUUGUCUCAGCAAGGAGGGAAUACAGAUGAAUUGGCAGGAUCAGGAGCAGCCAUGUUGCACCAAGAGAAGAUGAAAAAAGCAUAUGUUGCAGAUUGCAAAGUAACUAGGUAAGCAUUUGAGUCCCUAAAACUAUUCCUGGUAUGACUGGUAGCGGCAUACUAGCUUGGACUUUUUUGUGUCAGAGAAAUAAACCUUCAUCUCACUUAAAUCAGUAUUAUUUGGGGCCACUCUCUCUGUAGUAGGAGUGAAACUAGUAUCCUAACUAAUUUAACUGUCAAAAGAAAAAAAAAUAUGAGGCGAGAAAAUAAGGAAUCAAGAAACAAAAGUCAAGUUUUACUCACUUCAUAGCUUGGCUCAAAAGCAACUUUAAAUAUGUGAGAAAUGCAACAAAUGAUAAUCAUGCAUACAGAGAAAUUCCUCAAGUGACAAAUGCUUUUACUUUCAUUUCCUUUCUUGAAAAUUGACAGAGUAAGAUUCAGAUGCAUGUACUGACACUCACGUCAGUAACAUCGGCUCAGGUUAGACUUUGGUCGUCUUAUCCUUCGACUACCUAAGGGACUCAUGGCCAGUAUAUUUUACAACCCCCAGUGCCAGUUACUGAAUUCUCACCUGAGAAUGAAUUCCCUAAGUCUGUAAUGUUUCAUCAUCUUGCAACACAGAUAAGCCUGUGUUUAGAGCAGGCUUUUCCAUAUGAGUCCCUCCUCUUUCACACUGGGGCUGAGUAGAAGGUGAUUGACCUGCCUGAGACUUUAUCAGUUUGGAGUUCAUGUUCCAUGUGGUGUUGGAGGGAGCAAUGGAGGCUGUGAAAUCAGACAUCCUGCUUUUUGACAGGGUUGUUUGAUGACUCACCCAAGCCAUUUUUUAUUCUCGGUGCAUAUUCUAGUUUCCCUUCUCCCGACAGUAGCCUGAUGCACCUGUGCUUGCACUGUCCUUAAGCCUGUUGCUAUUGUUAUGUGGUGUCACUGAGCCCAACACUGCGUGCGUGUGUGUGUGUGUGUGUGUGUGUGUGUGUGUUGAAAGGGGUAGGAAAGUGAGGAUGAUUUUCAACCAUUAAACCCUUAAGGGGCCAUCUUCUGAAGCCUGGCAUCAUCAUUUUUGUUCUCAAGAACAUUUAAGUCAAAAAUAACAAGGUUCCUUUUGCUCAUCUUCAAAUUAUUUUACUUGUUUGAUCCAACUGCUAACUAGAAGGUGAAUUCUUUCUGCUGUCAUUUCAUAAUUCUAGUGUAUUAAAAAGAGAUGGGGGCUGGGCACGGUGGCUCAUGCCUGUAAUCCCAGCACUUUGGGAGGUCAAGGUGGGAGGAUCACUUGAGGCCAGGAGUUCAAGACCAGCCUGAGCAACAUAGCAAGGCCUCCUACAAAAAAUUUUAAAAAUUAGCUGGGCAUGGUGACACCCACCUGUAGUCCCAGCUGCUUGGGAGGCUGAGGCAGGAGGAUUGCUUGAGCCCAGGAGUUUAAGGUUGCAAUGAGCUUCAAGUUUUUAUACCUUCAAUCAUACCAUUUGUGGCUUAGGAACCCCUAAUAUAUUACAUGGAGGGUAAUGUAGACACCAAGAAAAUGAUUGAAAACAAUUUAUGCCUAAAUACAUUUGUAUUCUUCUUUAGAGAAACCUAGUAGACAAACUAAAAGCUACUAAGCAAAUAAAUCAAGGUACUGUAUUUUACAAAAUGACUCAAUUUAUGCAUCAUUUAAAGAGUGUGGAUCCCUUGGGAACUUUAAACAUGGUUGCAUUAGUUAAACAGUUGCUUCAUUCAGAUCCCUCUAGGAACUUGGGCAGCACAAGGGAAGGGGGGCCUCUGUUCCUACUGUGUGGUCCUGGUGAUCUGUGUAGGUAUCUUCUUUUACCGGGUUAAGUGAUAAAAACGGUGUCUUGUGCUCUUUUAUCCAAGUCCAA
rnacentral:lncRNA from 10 species